rnacentral:lncRNA from 1 species
AGGUGUCGCUAAAACAUGCCAAUAUUCUCUUUCCUGUUCUAGUGUCCAUCUUUGUGUUUUAAGCUUUGUUCUCGCUUUCUCGCUUACAUUCUCGGUUGAUAAUGUUAAGUAUGGUAUUUGUGGUUAACCAAAUGGAUUGGUCCAGAAAUCAUUUAUCCAUCAAAUGAGGCUUUUUUACUCUCUUUGAUUACGUUGUACGUAAUGAAAAAAAUUUUGACAGCUUAAGAAGUUAGUGCCUCAAUUUAAACCGAUUUUCAUGGCUAAUCGACUUCUAGUUCUGGUUGGAUCCCCAAUAGGAUGUCCAUGGGCAUGAUGGUAAUUCACUUGGUGUGGAUGAUUUACAAGUUGGUAUUUUUCACAUUGAAAAAUGGUGUCAUUUAUUGUUUUUCGGAAAAAAACCCUGUUACAAACAAACGUUGCAUGACACCUGAAAGAAAUUAUGAUUACCAAAUAACAAAUAGCAGCUGGUUUUCAGAAAUGUAUGUUUCAAGAUGAACUUUGAAGUUAGAUGUUCCAUUAUUUGGCUGGAUUCCUACUUAUGCAUCUUUCAUAAUCAAAUCAAUCUUAUUUGCAAGACAAAAUGAAAAACCACCAGUACAUGAACCAGUAUGGAGUUAACUGUUGUACUAACUUGUUCCUUGACAGCAACAAACAGCUUGAUAGAUAUUGCCGACCACUUAUCUGUUGGUGGAAAUCUAUUUGACAGUUAAAAUUGGCCAAAUACCUUGGGACUGAGAAAAUCCCUACGAUCAAAAUAGAGCAAGUGACUAGGGCUCGGCCCCGUGUCCAAUGGGUAGGUAUUCUCGAAAAAAAAAUGAGAUCCGUUGGGUAACGGUUCUUUAAAGUUCGUGCCCACUACCUACCCGGGUUUUAAGUGGGUAAUCGAAAAGUAAAACCGGGUCUGCUACCCGGUUCUCAUCGGGUUUUUACCCCGAUUGCCCCUUGUAUUUUUCCUUUAUUUUUUUUUCGUUGUCCAGUGAGUGUAAUUUUGUAACAUCUUUUGGAGAUGGGUGCAUCCCUAUGUCAGUAAUAUAUCGAACAAAUUUUAAAUCCAGAACUUUGAAAAAAAAAACUAAUUUAUUUAUUUACAAGUAGAAUAGAUAUUGGCCAGUAAAAAUUUUUUAGAAUUUUGUUGGGUGGAGAUUGUACAAAGACAUUUGUACAGUAAUUACGUCGAAUUUUGUUGAGUAGAAAUCCUACACAAAUGUUGUAGAUAAUGUAUAUUUGUAGAAAAUUUGUAGAAUUUCCUUUUGCAGAAUUCGGUAGAAAUUUGUUGUUUGUGGAGCGUCGUAGAUCAUUUCGUCGUUCUUUUCAGAGCUAAACACUUCUAACGAUAAAAAAGACAUCUUAUUGAACCGUUGGCUGCCUUUAUCCUGGAAAGACAAGGCUAGUUAUGCCCCUACACAAUUCCUAGAGGAAGGAAUGGACGUCAUUCGACCACCCGAUAAUGAGGAUUCGAGAUGAAAAUGACCGCAUUUAUGAGGUGUUGCCAUACUUAGAUUUAGAAAAAAGUCAUGUACUAAAAUUGAUUGGGAAAACUUUGGGUGAAAUAGCUCUGAAGAGAACUGUUGGUGAAAACUGGAGGAACUUCGAUGAAAACACGGGUAAGUCACGAGGCAAAAAACAAGAGGUAACUGCGAGAAUUCUGAGGAAUCUGCGAUUAACAUUACAAUAAACUAAAUUUGAUUAUGUAUUUUUCGGUAAUGGUGUCAUUGCCAGCAACCGUCAUUGAUGGUUUCUUUUGUGAUUUUCGGGAGGUAAUUGUUAAGCUGCGGUAUUUCUGUCAAUGAAUUUGGUAAGUUUUAAGUUUUUCCCAUAUAAUUCAAAAAUAAAAAGUUAUUUUUCUUUUAGAAAUUCUAUAUGUAACUAUUCUUGAACUCUGGCCAAAAUAUUCAAAAUUGGUGCUCACGGUAAAAUAAAAAAACAUUGUGCGGAACAAAUCGCAAUGGAGCAAGCCACAUUGGCAGUUAGGCACUUGUUAUGUCAGUUUGUGUAUGGUGUUUGAUUCUGAAACAAGUAAUUCCAUCGAUUGAUUGAAUGGAUAUCCUGAAUUCCCAUCAACAUUAAAUGAUCGGGAGGAUCGUCGCGGUAAGGACAUUAUCAUUUGUAAUGUUAGCAGUGCUGUGGGCAAAAAAGUUUCACUUUUUGGAUACAGAUAGGUUUUCAUUUAAUCUAAUCCAUCCUUUAACUACAGCAUUUCUUUUGCAGUAGCUUCUAUUGAAGCAUUAUAUUUAAUUUUCAGCAUUAAUGAAGAUUUUUCUUCCACUUGUACAAGUAAAUGGCUCUUUUUUAAAUCGGCUUUUGGUGCCCAGAGAAGUAUAGCUUUGUGGAAGGAGACCUGCAGUUGAUUGCUGGCAAAACUGACUAAAUCUAAAUUGAAAAACACUAAAAACAAUUUCCCCGUUACAGGUGUCAUGGGAGCAGUUUCGCUCAGUUAGUGAAGGUUACGCCCGUGGAAUGACAUUCCAACCUAACUCCGUGUAAUAGAUUAAUAAUAAAUCUUUUGUUAAUUAGCUAUAAUUUUGAUGACCAGAGGCAUCUUUGUUGUAGUUAUCUACACAAUAACAAGCAAUAUAUACACUAUAGUGGGGUUGUUUUGGGGUAGAUUAUUUCUUUUCCGUCGUUGGCCAUCGUUUGAUGACUUCCUUUCCUACCUUUUCCUGUUUUUCCUGCAAAUAUUUGACAGUUAGGAUCCUUUUGCCUGUCAUACAUACAUGUCUUCCAGAACCACGAGACCAUAUUCCAUACUCCUUGAACUUCUACCACCAAAUUAUCUAUUUGGUUACUGGAUUGGUCGCUUUCUCGUGGAUAAUUUUCCGUAAGCUUGGUUACAUUUACAUAUGUAUGUUGCUAUUUUUCAGGAAUCUCAAAUGUCUGAAUUUUAUGUAUUUCUUAAUCUCAAGAUUUUGUAAAAUUGUAUUGUCAGGCAGAAUUCUACCUGCAGAUAGCUGGUCUAAAUUCCAUGGAUUGCAACUUAAAAAUAUAAGAAAGACAUUUAUUCACUUCGCUUUUGUUAUUAAUCAAAAUACCUUUAGAGCUACUGCAUUUCUAUCCAGGACCAAAUUGAUUCAACCAAACAAACAAGUUCCAUACUGGUUCAUGUACCAACACAACAACCAUGCCUUCUAUUAAAUGUUCUUUUAAUUCCAACUCUUUUUCUCUGAAAAGUAUAAAAAUUCAAAAAUUACUGAUAAAUUAAAAAGUAUGAAAUAUCUUAGAAUACUUGUAUUCAAAAAGACAAAUUGAAGCCACUUCUACUUUGUAUUUCAACCACUUUACUUUAGUUUAUCUUUUUUGCAAAAUUUUAUUCAUGAGUGUUUUCUUAGUCUCAAGGUAUUUGUCCAAUUUCAAAUGUCAAAAAGAUUUCCACCAACAGACAACUGGUCAGCAAUCCCUGGUCAACAACCAAAAGCUAUUGGUUCCUGUCAACCUUUCCUGUCAAUGAACAAGUUGGUUUAACAGGGCACUUUUUGGCUGACAUUAGCGCCAUCCUACGACCAUGCUACGACUGGGAGAAACGUUUUUCUAUAUUCCCCACGCCUUAUAAAUCCGAAGGGUAAUUUUGGGCGCCAUUUUUCAAUUCGUACUUCUAUCAGUGAUGACGCUAAAAUCAAACAAUCGACGACAAUCUCAUCGUGUGGUAGAAAAAUAAAGCUUGUUUUAGCCGCCUGUCGGGCAUUCAAAGAGAGCUUACAUCAGAACUGCCACCGCGAUUAUAUUUUCUUUUGAAUUUGGAUUCUCGUCGAUGGUGUUGGAUGGAUGGAUAACUUGGAUGGUAUUUCAAUAUAGCUUAUGCUGCUAGCUUGUUCUUCAUUCCAUGAGGCUGCAUCCAACGGUGAAUAAUUUGGAUGAACAAUACCUCAAGGUCGAGCAGCCUGUUGCCAUGCUGUAUUGAAUUUGCUGUGUUCUACAUGUUGAGUGUGCCAUUAAGCAUUCACUACUAAUUUCUAAUACAUGGUGAAUUAGAGUUGCUACAAUGAAGGGUAAAAGCUUGUGAUUUAAACCAUAAAAGGUUGGCAGAAGGUUUCCUGUAGUAAAGCUUCUCUUUUUUGCUCUGUGGUGAAUUGGUUAGUGCAUGGCUUGGUAGUAAUUAAAGGAGAAGUAGACCACAGCUUCAUUCUGUGGGGAUUUGCAUGUAUAUCUUCUGUAGGUGUAGGUGGUAAAAGCUCUUUAACAUUCAUCUCUUCUAUUUGGCAUCCUUUCUUGGGAUUGCGUUGGCAUCACUGAUUUUCGGCAGCUUAGCAGGUAGGAUGUCGCAUACACUUGGGCGAAAUCAGAACUUCCAGCAACUGCUGAUUGCGUCUUUUAUGAAGUCUCGAGUCCUUUCUCACUUGGCUUUAUUGAAGUGGGGGUUUGGGCUGCUGAACAAUUUCAAUUGUGGUGUUUUCAUUUACAAGUUGUCGUUUGAUUGCGCUUUUCCGUUACCUAUCAUUUUAAAAAUGUGAUGCCAGCCUUAAUAUUUUCUGAUUUGAAUUUGAGAUCAAAUAAUUUGCUUUUUCUUCGUUUACUUUUUAAACAAUGAAGUUUGCGAGCUUAUGUUAUUUCACGUUUUUCUUUUCAGAUUUUGGCUGUUCAUCAUAGACCAUCGUAUUACGAGUCUGCUGCUGUGGGUCAACUCAUUUCAGCUACAAUAUGUGAUAUCUUGCAUUUUUACAUGAUUAUAUUUCCUGUGUUUCUGACCCUGUUUGGAUUACAGGAACCAGUAUUUGAUCUUCUAUUUACAUUUUAGGUGGUCCUGUGUCAGCAAAUGGUUGUUCAGUUGGGAGCAUAUUGGCGUGGCGUUUGCGUGUGCAAUUCAUUUUCCUGUGAAAUUGUGGUAGUUGUGACAAUGUAUUGUGUGUUUUCCGUUAUGAUGAAAAUGAGUUUCCGUUUGAUCGUGAAGUAUUCUUUUUAAACAACUCUAACUUGAUCUAUUAGAAUCUGACUGACUUUGUUAACAAAUUAACCGUUUUGUUUUCAGGUUGUUCGGCUGACUAAUUUUACAUUUCAUUGUUAGAUGGGAUCCUUUGUCAACAACAUUCAUCUACGAAUGAUAAUCGGACGUUUAGCAGACGAAAUUUUGAAGACGUACUUGCGUAAUCGGCAUGUCAGUUUUUGUUCAAUGGAUGUUUUUAAUGCUGAUUGCUACAUUAACGCGAUGUGAUGAUUUGUUAUUUUAAAGUGAGUGGUGAUAGCUUUGAAGUGACUGUCUUAUUUAACAUAUUGAAAAUAUUGAUUUGCGUUACACCCGUGUUAGGGUGUGACGAUAGACUUAUUAGCAUUUAUUAUAAUGUCGGUAUAUGUGUGAUGUAUAUAAUGUAUGAUGAACUCUCAAUAAAAGCGAUUUUAAUAA